rnacentral:lncRNA from 13 species
GUUCCUGUAUUGUAUUCUUCAGUUCCAUUAAUUCACUCAUACUCCUCUCUAAGUUGUCUAUUCUCAAUAGGAUUUCAUCAAACCUUUUUUCAAAGUUCCUAGUUUCUUUACGUUGGGCUACAACAUGGUCUUUUAACUCACUGAAGUUUUUUAUUAUCCAUUCCUUGAAGAGUGAUUCUGUCAUCAGGAUGCGCUCGUUCUCCAUCAAGCCUUGUUCCAUUGUUGAUGUGGAACUGUGAUCAUCUUUAGAGGGAGAGGCGUUCUGAUUUUGAGUGUUCUCAGCUUUUUUACGCUGGUUUCUUCCCGUCAUUGUAAAUUUAUCCUCCUGUCCUCUUUGAAAUUACCAACUUUCAGAUUAGGUCUCUUGAGUGGAUGUCCAGGUUGUUAGUUCCCUGGGCCAGAGCAGCAGCGUUAAAACUGAUGGUGCUUUUCUGCCCAGGAUUCUCCUGUCUGGCUUCCUUCUUGUGUCUGUAGUAGGCAACUCUGCCUUCCCAGGGCUCCAAACCUCGGUCAGAAGGGAAACUGGUCCUGUUUACUCUGCGCCAAGUGCUGCCAGGCCGAGGUGCCGUCACAGCCGCUGCACCGGGCUCUGGUGUCCUGCUGGGGACCCGUGCGGGUCCUCCGAACCUGUUUACUCUGCUCUGAGAGCUGCUGCGCCAAGGUGCCGGCGGAACCGCUGUGCCGACCAUGAGAGUCACGCUGGCCACCCAUGUGUUUCCUCCACUGGGGAUCUUCUGCUCCGUGAGCGACCAGAAUUUGUCUGAAAGUGUGGCGUCCUCUAGUUCUCCGCGCCUUCCCUGAGAGCUGCAAUCCCGGGAUGUUAGCGAUCGGCCAUCUUGGAUCGUUCCCUCAUUUCUGUUUCUUUUUGCUCUCUUCCUCUUUUUCUCUCAUCUUUCUUUCUCUUAGUCUCCUUCCUUCACUCAUAGACUUUUUGUAUUUUUUUUUUCCUGAAAACCAGAUGCCUCUGAGAUUUAAAGCUAGUGAUUCUGUUCUCUUCCACCCCAACCUUUUCCAGCCACACCUUAAAACUUUCAUCUAAGCCAUUCUUUGAUACAUCAUAGGACCUUGACACUCAGUCUAGCCACAACCAUAUUCAUAUAUUUUCAGUUUUAUUUCCCUUCUUCCAGUUCUCAUAGACAUUAGUAAUCUGGGUACUCUGUAGCCAGAGUCACAGUUCCAUAGCCCUACUUCUCCCAACCCAUGGUCAUCUACCUGCCUCUUGAACCUAUAAGCAUAGCCCAGGCUUUCAGUUAGUACUGGGAUUUAACUAUCUUGUGGGCUCCAAAGUCAAUCACAGAAAGACAAGUCUACAUUUGCUUAGAAAAGGAAAAUUCUAUGGUCCAACAAAAAUGAACUCACUAAUCAGGGGAUUUUCAAGAGGGUACAAGUUACAGCUGGCCUGAAAACAAUUUUUUUCAUGUGCUAGUUAUUUUCUCUUAGGUGAUUUCCAAUGCUCUUCCAACAGUCAUUUUUAGAGUUUUUAAGGUUAUUAGCUAUGAAUUCCAAAUUCGCAUUUUGUGUAGCUCUUUCAAAAAGGGAUUUUUCACCUCUUUCCCAUGUAUCUAAUUCACUGGUUCAGCUUCAAGAAGAAAAUAACUAUCACUAGGCCGGGUGCAGUGGCCGAUGUCUGUAAUCCCAUCACUUUGGGAGGCUGAGGCAGGUGGAUCACCUGAGGUCAGGAGUGCAAGACCAGCCUGGCCAACAUGGUAAAACCCCAUCUCUACUAACAUACAAAAAUUAGCCAGCCAUGAUGGCGGGUACCUGGAAUCCCAGUUACUCGGGAGGCUGAGACAGGAGAAUCACUUAAACCAGGAGAAGGUGAUUGCAGUUAGCUGAGAUGACGCCACUGCACUCCAGCCUGGGGAGUGUGGCUGCGCGAGACUCUGUCUCUAAACAGUAGCCUUUCUAUGGGCUCUCUGUUCUGAAACUGCCCUGGUGCUUCUGAUAGAUACAGGC